GUGACGCGACAUCGCCGGCGAGUUUCGGCGCGCUGCGGUUGGCAGCCGUGGAAACGCGCGGAGCGCCGCGGUGGCGAAUGGAUGGAAGAGGGAGAGAGAGAGGACGUUCAUUACGCUCGCUCUCCGCUCCCGAGGAGCCUAUUCAGCUCGAAACGCAGCACGCAGCAUUGCGGAUCGUUUAUGACUCGGAAUAAGAAGCGGCGGGUCUUGUUUGUUUAUGUAUUUCAAAUGUAGCGGAGAAAGAGAAAUGGCUAUAUCGGUCGAGAUCGAAGGGAUACUUGAUUUGAUAAUAGGGUGUCUGGGCUACCUGAAAAUCCUGAGAAGAAUGCGACGUCUGAAGAAGAGAUAAAACAGUAGCACGAGAUGUGACAAGAGAGACGAAGAGAACGAGAGGAAGAAGCAGCUUCCGUGCUCUCUUUCCGUAGACCGAAGGAUCGAUUGUUCCGGUCCUUUCGCCUUUCUCCGCAGGGGUGCUCACCGAGAAAUUUUCCACCUGGGCGACAAAAAUUCG